rnacentral:rRNA from 1 species
AGAGUUUGAUCAUGGCUCAGAUUGAACGCUGGCGGCAGGCCUAACACAUGCAAGUCGAGCGGUAGCACAGAGAGCUUGCUCUCGGGUGACGAGCGGCGGACGGGUGAGUAAUGUCUGGGAAACUGCCUGAUGGAGGGGGAUAACUACUGGAAACGGUAGCUAAUACCGCAUAACGUCGCAAGACCAAAGUGGGGGACCUUCGGGCCUCAUGCCAUCAGAUGUGCCCAGAUGGGAUUAGCUAGUAGGUGGGGUAACGGCUCACCUAGGCGACGAUCCCUAGCUGGUCUGAGAGGAUGACCAGCCACACUGGAACUGAGACACGGUCCAGACUCCUACGGGAGGCAGCAGUGGGGAAUAUUGCACAAUGGGCGCAAGCCUGAUGCAGCCAUGCCGCGUGUGUGAAGAAGGCCUUCGGGUUGUAAAGCACUUUCAGCGGGGAGGAAGGCGNNNNNNCGAUUGACGUUACCCGCAGAAGAAGCACCGGCUAACUCCGUGCCAGCAGCCGCGGUAAUACGGAGGGUGCAAGCGUUAAUCGGAAUUACUGGGCGUAAAGCGCACGCAGGCGGUCUGUCAAGUCGGAUGUGAAAUCCCCGGGCUCAACCUGGGAACUGCAUUCGAAACUGGCAGGCUAGAGUCUUGUAGAGGGGGGUAGAAUUCCAGGUGUAGCGGUGAAAUGCGUAGAGAUCUGGAGGAAUACCGGUGGCGAAGGCGGCCCCCUGGACAAAGACUGACGCUCAGGUGCGAAAGCGUGGGGAGCAAACAGGAUUAGAUACCCUGGUAGUCCACGCCGUAAACGAUGUCGAUUUGGAGGUUGUGCCCUUGAGGCGUGGCUUCCGGAGCUAACGCGUUAAAUCGACCGCCUGGGGAGUACGGCCGCAAGGUUAAAACUCAAAUGAAUUGACGGGGGCCCGCACAAGCGGUGGAGCAUGUGGUUUAAUUCGAUGCAACGCGAAGAACCUUACCUGGUCUUGACAUCCACAGAACUUNUUGGUGCCUUCGGGAACUGUGAGACAGGUGCUGCAUGGCUGUCGUCAGCUCGUGUUGUGAAAUGUUGGGUUAAGUCCCGCAACGAGCGCAACCCUUAUCCUUUGUUGCCAGCGGUUAGGCCGGGAACUCAAAGGAGACUGCCAGUGAUAAACUGGAGGAAGGUGGGGAUGACGUCAAGUCAUCAUGGCCCUUACGACCAGGGCUACACACGUGCUACAAUGGCAUAUACAAAGAGAAGCGACCUCGCGAGAGCAAGCGGACCUCAUAAAGUAUGUCGUAGUCCGGAUUGGAGUCUGCAACUCGACUCCAUGAAGUCGGAAUCGCUAGUAAUCGUAGAUCAGAAUGCUACGGUGAAUACGUUCCCGGGCCUUGUACACACCGCCCGUCACACCAUGGGAGUGGGUUGCAAAAGAAGUAGGUAGCUUAACCUUCGGGAGGGCGCUUACCACUUUGUGAUUCAUGACUGGGGUGAAGUCGUAACAAGGUAACCGUAGGGGAACCUGCGGUUGGAUCACCU